UUUGCAAAGAAAAGGCAAAACGCAAACGGCGCCACCCCUGGAAUCUUCCAUGCUUCAAUAAAACCCACGGCUGAUUCCUCUUCUCCGUCUGAUCUCAAGAAAGGCUCGGUUACUUCCUCGCCUUCUUUUCUAGGAGAGAACACUUCAUCUUCAUCUUUAUUAGCUCCCACAGAUUCAGGAUUAACCGGCAAGAGAAGGAAUACUACCACGCCAACAACAGCAAUAAGGGUACCGGGAACAACCAUUGACCAACCCCAUCCAUACUUCAACAAUAAUGAAGCAACCACAGAACCCGCGAUAUUACCGACCGAGGUGUGAGCAUUCCAAAUACCCAUUAUAAGUCCUCUCUUCUUUUUUCCAAACCAAUUCCCCACUACUGCAACCACUGAAGGCCAUCCUGUGGAUUGGAACAAUCCAGCCAUCAUUUGUACAAUUAGAUAGUAAUAAAAGAUGUGUACAUUUGCCCAAUAUCCAACUCCAAAAAGGGCAGUGAACACACCAGUCCCCACCAUUCCAAUUGUCAAAAAUAUUCUCAGAUCCAUCCUAUCACCAACGUGCCCGGAGAAAUACAUUCCCAUGGCAUAUACAAAAAGGAAUGAAACAUCAAGUUCACCAAGCAUCGCCGUACCAUCAGGUCCGUUAAACGGUACCCAACCAUCUUUAAGCAUCCAAGAAAGUUUUGAACUUUGAUUUUGGUCAUAAGUCGUAUUACGCCUUUGCCACGGAAACUUUAAGCCAACAUCAGGAGACUGGGGAUCCAAAGCACUUUUCACAAUGCUUGUGGUUUUUCUAGUAGCAUGGUAACUUGUAUAAGCUAAAAAUGUUACAAUUAACACAAUCCCUUGAUAUGUCUUGAAAGAGAGGUUAGCCUUCUUUGUCCUCUCCAUCACCCUAAUUCCAGGGGGCUUGCUGUAAGUUUCAUCCAUAAUUGGCUCCGGUAGAGAUCCCAUUAAUUGCUACCCAAACAAACUGAUAAAGAG
rnacentral:misc_RNA from 1 species